UACGGAGGAUGCAAGCGUUAUCCGGAAUGAUUGGGCGUAAAGCGUCCGCAGGUGGCAAUGUAAGUCUGCUGUCAAAGCGUCUGGCUCAACCAGAUAAAGGCAGUGGAAACUACAUAGCUAGAGUAAGGUAGGGGUAGAGGGAAUUCCUGGUGUAGCGGUGAAAUGCGUAGAGAUCAGGAGGAACACCGGUGGCGAAGGCGGGUCUCUGGGCAAUAACUGACGUGAGGAGCGAAAGCGUGGGGAGCGAACAGG
rnacentral:rRNA from 1 species